UACAGAGGUGGCAAGCGUUGUUCGGAAUUACUGGGCGUAAAGGGCGCGUAGGCGGUCCCGUCAGUCCCUUGUGAAAUCCCCCGGCUCAACUGGGGAACUGCAAGGGAUACAGCGGGGCUUGAGUUCGGGAGAGGGAAGCGGAAUUCCGGGUGUAGCGGUGAAAUGCGUAGAUAUCUGGAGGAACGCCGGUGGCGAAAGCGCUCGACUGGACCUCUUCUGACGCUGAGGCGCGAAAGCCAGGGGAGCAAACGGG
rnacentral:rRNA from 1 species